rnacentral:lncRNA from 1 species
GGAGCCUUGCGUCGGAGGCCGUCGCGAAAACACAGAAGCCUAAUAAGGUAACUCUGGCAAGUUGAUGUCACACGAAAUGGCUAGGUCAGUGGCAAGGAGUGGUUACAACGAGAAGCAGAGCCCCUGGAGUGGGUAACAGGUGGAGGGUGGGCAAGCAGCCCCUCCGUGGGUGCGGGGACGGGACGGAGCAUCCAGGUGUCGGGUUCCAGCCCCCUCGGGGUGCCUGGCCCAGAGGAGCCACGCUCGCUCGCCCUCACCUCGGAGGUUCAGACAUGCACGACGGUCCCGCCUGCCAAGGGAAACACUGACGUCACCCCAGGAACAAAAGGAUUCCAUGUCAGUGUUUUUCGUGGGACUAAUGCUCCCAGAAGCAAAGAAACAGCCUCCCAGUGACUUAGCCGAAGCAGAACGUAGGCGACCUGGCGCGGGAGCCACCCUGCUGCAUUUAACAGGCCUUAGAGCCUGGCCUGGAGGGUCCCGGGCCCAGGGCAGGAGCCCGGCAGGUGCUGCGAGACCCCCUUACCAGCCCAUCCCUUGGGCUGCAGGUGAGGGGCCGGGGCAGGCUGGAAAGGGGGUGACCAGCUCCCCCACCCCACCCCUGGGGACAGCACAGUUCCUUGGCCCCGCCUGUCGGGACACCGGGCAGCAGGUAGGAAACAGGUCUCCGGGGGCGGGCGCACAUCACUGGUUAACGGGGCCUCUUCUGCUCUCAGGUGGGAACCCUGAGGUGCCAAGGUCAAGGUGGGCCCGCAGCUGCUCCCUCCCCACCCCUCCCUUUGGUUUUACCUUCCUGAACACUAUUUCAUUUUUUUUUUUUUGCAUUUUUUCAAUUUAAAGUCAAUUUGCCAACAUCUAGUGCAACCCCCUGUGCUCAUCCCAUUGCGUGCCGUCCUCAGUACCCGUCACCCGGUCACCCCGUCCCCCCACCCUCCUCCCCUUCUGCAGCCCUCUGGUU